CAAAAUCCCAUAGCUUGAUUAGCUUCAGCAUGAUGACCAGGUGGACGAACAAUAGCAAAACCAUUUUUUACAUCACCCAGGGCAGCUAUUUACAAAAUUGCCAAAUCAAUAACACAACCAACAGCCAUUCGAGCAGCUGGAGCUGUAUGUAAUUCAUUCCAUGUAGUGUCAGAAUCCACCCCUAAUCCACCACAAGGCAAUCGCACCAAUGCUUUCACAGGCAAUUCAGCUAAUUUAGAACUAUCCAUUUUUUGACGACUUGCAAGGUUGAUGUUGUAUCUACAUGAAACAUAUUUCAUGUAACACCAAUGUACUUACCCGAUCCGUUAAUUUUGAAAGACACCAAAUAAACUUGAUGUAAUA